GACGAACGCUGGCGGCGUGCCUAAUACAUGCAAGUCGAGCGAAUGAAUGGGAGCUUGCUCCUGUUCGUUAGCGGCGGACGGGUGAGUAACACGUGGGCAACCUGCCUGUAAGACUGGGAUAACUUCGGGAAACCGGAGCUAAUACCGGAUAGUUUCUUUCUUCACAUGAAGAGAGAUGGAAAGACGGUUUACGCUGUCACUUACAGAUGGGCCCGCGGCGCAUUAGCUAGUUGGUGAGGUAACGGCUCACCAAGGCGACGAUGCGUAGCCGACCUGGGAGGGUGAUCGGCCACACUGGGACGGAGACACGGCCCAGACUCCUACGGGAGGCAGCAGUAGGGAAUCUUCCGCAAUGGACGAAAGUCUGACGGAGCAACGCCGCGUGAGUGAAGAAGGUUUUCGGAUCGUAAAACUCUGUUGUCAGGGAAGAACAAGUACCAGAGUAACUGCUGGUACCUUGACGGUACCUGACCAGAAAGCCACGGCUAACUACGUGCCAGCAGCCGCCGUAAGAC
rnacentral:rRNA from 1 species